rnacentral:rRNA from 1 species
UGGGGAAUUUUGGACAAUGGGCGAAAGCCUGAUCCAGCAAUGCCGCGUGUGUGAAGAAGGCCUUCGGGUUGUAAAGCACUUUUGUCCGGAAAGAAAUCCUUGGCUCUAAUACAGUCGGGGGAUGACGGUACCGGAAGAAUAAGCACCGGCUAACUACGUGCCAGCAGCCGCGGUAAUACGUAGGGUGCAAGCGUUAAUCGGAAUUACUGGGCGUAAAGCGUGCGCAGGCGGUUUGCUAAGACCGAUGUGAAAUCCCCGGGCUCAACCUGGGAACUGCAUUGGUGACUGGCAGGCUAGAGUAUGGCAGAGGGGGGUAGAAUUCCACGUGUAGCAGUGAAAUGCGUAGAGAUGUGGAGGAAUACCGAUGGCGAAGGCAGCCCCCUGGGCCAAUACUGACGCUCAUGCACGAAAGCGUGGGGAGCAAAACAGGAUUAGAUACCCUGGUAGUCCACGCCCUAAACGAUGUCAACUAGUUGUUGGGGAUUCAUUCUUAGUAACGUAGCUAACGCGUGAAGUUGACCGCCUGGGGAGUACGGUCGCAAGAUUAAAACUCAAAUGAAUUGACGGGGUCAUAGCUGUUUCCU